rnacentral:tRNA from 1 species
GGGGGCAGAGUUCAGGGGCAGAGCAUGUAUUUAGCAUGCACAAGGUCCUGGGUUCAACCCCCAGCACUUCCA